AGAGUUUGAUCAUGGCUCAGAUUGAACGCUGGCGGCAGGCCUAACACAUGCAAGUCGAACGGUAACAGGAAACAGCUUGCUGUUUCGCUGACGAGUGGCGGACGGGUGAGUAAUGUCUGGGAAACUGCCUGAUGGAGGGGGAUAACUACUGGAAACGGUAGCUAAUACCGCAUAACGUCGCAAGACCAAAGAGGGGGACCUUCGGGCCUCUUGCCAUCGGAUGUGCCCAGAUGGGAUUAGCUUGUUGGUGGGGUAACGGCUCACCAAGGCGACGAUCCCUAGCUGGUCUGAGAGGAUGACCAGCCACACUGGAACUGAGACACGGUCCAGACUCCUACGGGAGGCAGCAGUGGGGAAUAUUGCACAAUGGGCGCAAGCCUGAUGCAGCCAUGCCGCGUGUAUGAAGAAGGCCUUCGGGUUGUAAAGUACUUUCAGCGGGGAGGAAGGGAGUAAAGUUAAUACCUUUGCUCAUUGACGUUACCCGCAGAAGAAGCACCGGCUAACUCCGUGCCAGCAGCCGCGGUAAUACGGAGGGUGCAAGCGUUAAUCGGAAUUACUGGGCGUAAAGCGCACGCAGGCGGUUUGUUAAGUCAGAUGUGAAAUCCCCGGGCUCAACCUGGGAACUGCAUCUGAUACUGGCAAGCUUGAGUCUCGUAGAGGGGGGUAGAAUUCCAGGUGUAGCGGUGAAAUGCGUAGAGAUCUGGAGGAAUACCGGUGGCGAAGGCGGCCCCCUGGACGAAGACUGACGCUCAGGUGCGAAAGCGUGGGGAGCAAACAGGAUUAGAUACCCUGGUAGUCCACGCCGUAAACGAUGUCGACUUGGAGGUUGUGCCCUUGAGGCGUGGCUUCCGGAGCUAACGCGUUAAGUCGACCGCCUGGGGAGUACGGCCGCAAGGUUAAAACUCAAAUGAAUUGACGGGGGCCCGCACAAGCGGUGGAGCAUGUGGUUUAAUUCGAUGCAACGCGAAGAACCUUACCUGGUCUUGACAUCCACGGAAGUUUUCAGAGAUGAGAAUGUGCCUUCGGGAACCGUGAGACAGGUGCUGCAUGGCUGUCGUCAGCUCGUGUUGUGAAAUGUUGGGUUAAGUCCCGCAACGAGCGCAACCCUUAUCCUUUGUUGCCAGCGGUCCGGCCGGGAACUCAAAGGAGACUGCCAGUGAUAAACUGGAGGAAGGUGGGGAUGACGUCAAGUCAUCAUGGCCCUUACGACCAGGGCUACACACGUGCUACAAUGGCGCAUACAAAGAGAAGCGACCUCGCGAGAGCAAGCGGACCUCAUAAAGUGCGUCGUAGUCCGGAUUGGAGUCUGCAACUCGACUCCAUGAAGUCGGAAUCGCUAGUAAUCGUGGAUCAGAAUGCCACGGUGAAUACGUUCCCGGGCCUUGUACACACCGCCCGUCACACCAUGGGAGUGGGUUGCAAAAGAAGUAGGUAGCUUAACCUUCGGGAGGGCGCUUACCACUUUGUGAUUCAUGACUGGGGUGAAGUCGUAACAAGGUAACCGUAGGGGAACCUGCGGUUGGAUCACCU
rnacentral:rRNA from 42 species